rnacentral:sRNA from 1 species
GUAGUCCCAGCUACCUGUGGGGUCGCGGUGAGGUAGGAGAAUCUUGAGCCCAGGAGUUCUAGGCUGUAGUGCUCUAUGCCAGCAGUCGGGUGUCUGCACUAUGUUAGGCAUCAAUAUGGUGACCUCCAGGGAGUGGAGGAUCAUCAGGUUACCUAAAGAGAGGUGAACCAGUGCAGGUGAGAAAUGAAGCAUGUCAGAA